AAAAAACAUCACCUGGCUUGUUAAAACACAGAUUCCUGGACCCCACCCAGAAUUUGAUUCAGGUCGGGAGUGGGGCCUAUUAAGAUGCAUUUCUAGCAAGUUCCCAGGUGAUACUCAUGCUUCUGGUCCCAAACCACACUGUGAAAUGCCAGUUCCAGAUUAGAAGAUCCCAAAGAGAUACUGGAGCCAACCACAAUGUACAAACCUGAUUGGGUCCUGAUUUGGAAAUUAAACAUCUUUAAA